UUUUGUUGGCACCAUAAAUUGGUUUUGCUUCACACUAUCUUGAUCAAGAGUGUGUGAAGCUUUUUAGAAUUGUGAUUGAACUCCUUUGAUGAAGCUUUUGUUGGUAUCAUAAAUUGGUUUCACACUGUCUUGAUCAAGAGUGUGUGAAGCUUUUGAGAAUUGUGGUUACCUUCUAUUGAUGAAGCUCUUGUUGGCACCAUAAAUUGGUUUUGCUUCACACUGUCUUGAUCAAGAGUGUGUGAAGCUUUUGAGAAUUGUGGUUGUCCUCCUUUGAUGAAGCUCUUGUUGGCAUCAUAAAUUAGUUUUGCUUCACACUGUCUUGAUCAAGAGUGUGUGAAGCUUUUGAGAAUUGUGGUUGCCCUCCAUUGAUGAAGCUCUUGUUGGCACUAUAAAUUGAUUUUGUUUCACAUUGUCUUGAUCAAGAGUGUGAAGCUUUUGAGAAUUGUGGUUGCCCUCCAAUGAUGAAGCUUUUGUUGGCACCAUAAAUUGAUUUUGCUUCACACUGUCUUGAUCAAGAGUGAGUGAAGCUUUUGAGAAUUGUGGUUGCCCUCCUUUGAUGAAGCUCUUGUUGGCACCAUAAAUUGGUUUUGCUUCACACUGUCUUGAUCAAGAGUGUGUGAAGCUUUUGAGAAUUAAGGUUGCCCUCCAUUGAUGAAGCUCUUGUUGGCACCAUAAAUUGAUUUUGCUUCACACUGUCUUGAUUAAGAGUGUGUGAAGCUUUUGAGAAUUGUGGUUGCCCUCCAUUGAUGAAGCUCUUGUUGGCACCAUAAAUUGAUUUUGCUUCACAUUGUCUUGAUCAAGAGUGUGUGAAGCUUUCUACGAGUUGUAGUGUUUGCAUUGUUACAGUGAGGAAAUGUUUGAAGUAGAUGCAAGAGGGCUGAAUAGCUUGAUCUUCGUAUGCCAUACACUGAAGUUGUUGUUGGCUUGUAAUAAGGCUUUGUUGGUGACUAUAACUCUUGUUGGGCAUAAGUGCUCCCCUAGUUGAGUUGUCAAGCUUGAGGGUUUUUGAUUAUUUGUGAAUGCUAGGAGUUCACAUGUACAAGUUAUACCACUCGUCUUCUGAUAGGUGGAAUGAAUGGUGAGUUGCUUUUAUCACUUGGUUGGUGGUACGAAUGUGAGUUCCUUCAUCACAUUUCAUCACAUUUCAUCACCUGGUUGGUGGCACGAGGAUAAGUUCCUUCUUCCCCUAGUUGGUGGCAUGAAUGGCAAGUUGUCAAAUGUACGAGUUGUACAUUUCAUCACCUGGUUGGUGGCAUGAGGGAGAGUACAGGUUGUACAUUUCAUCAUCUGGUUGGUGGUAUGAGUGGUAAGUUGCCAAAUGAUAUUAGAGUACGGGUUGUACAUUUCAUCACUUGGUUGGUGGCAUGGAGGAGAGUACGGGUUGUACAUUUCAUCACCUGGUUAGUGGCAUGAAUGGCAGGUUACCAAAUGAUAUUAGAGUACGGGUUACACAUUUCAUCACCUGAUUGGUGGCAUGAAAGAGAGUACGGGUUGUACAUUUCAUCACCUGGUUGGUGGCAUGAAGAUGAGUUCAUUCUUCAUUUGGUUGGUGAGUAUAAGGGCAAGGUGUCUAGGCACAUUGUAGCAAGUGUCGAAUGACACAAAAUAUGUUGAACCCUUUCAAAGCACCGUUGGCAUAUGUAUGAAUGUGUUGGAAUGUAUGAUUGAAUGAAUAUACUGUGAAGCUGUUCGUUUAUUUGUAUAGUCUUGUUGACAUAUACUUAGACUUUGUUUCAUGUUGGAAGCAUUCAUGUUGAACCUUUGAACCCAAGUGUUUCAUUGCUAGGAAUGUAAGAGGAUUAGGAUCAAGUUGUCUAAACCACCUUUUUAUUGAAUUCAUGCCAAAUAGUCUUCGUUACAUAGGAUGCCGAACGACUGAUGCUUAACACUUGUACAAUGUGAGUUUACUUGUAAUAGUACUUUAAGUGAUCAGCGUUCCAUGGAUGGCCAAUGGUCUUACUAUCAGAGCUUUUAAGCUUGUAGGAGCCAGGAUGACUGAUGCUAACAACUUCAAACAUUCCAUCCCAAUUUGGACUAAGUGUUCCUUCACUCGGGACUCUGUCACAGAGUAAUCUUUUCUUCAAUACCUAGUCCCCCAUUUUGAAAGAAC
rnacentral:lncRNA from 1 species